rnacentral:rRNA from 1 species
GACGUAGGGUGCAAGCGUUUGUCCGGAUUUAUUGGGCGUAAAGAGCUCGUAGGCGGCUUGUUGCGUCGACUGUGAAAACCCGCGGCUUAACCGCGGGCUUGCAGUUGAUACGGGCAGGCUAGAGUUCGGUAGGGGAGACUGGAAUUCCCGGUGUAGCGGUGAAAUGCGCAGAGAUCGGGAGGAACACCCGUAGCGAAGGCGGCACUCUGGGCCGGUACUGACGCUGAGGAGCGAAAGCGUGGGGAGCGAACAGG